rnacentral:rRNA from 1 species
UACGGAGGGUGCAAGCGUUAUCCGGAUUCACUGGGUUUAAAGGGUGCGUAGGCGGACACUUAAGUCCGUGGUGAAAUCUCUGGGCUUAACCCAGAAACUGCCAUGGAUACUAUUUGUCUUGAAUGUUGUGGAGGUUAGCGGGAUAUGUCAUGUAGCGGUGAAAUGCAUAGAUAUGACAUAGAACACCAAUUGCGAAGGCAGCUGGCUGCACAAAUAUUGACGCUGAGGCACGAAAGCGUGGGGAGCAAACAGG